rnacentral:rRNA from 1 species
GUAGGGAAUAUUGGUCAAUGGACGAAAGUCUGAACCAGCCAUUCCGCGUGCAGGAAGAAGAUUCUAUGGAUUGUAAACUGCUUUUAGCAGAGAAGAAACGCCUUCAUUGAUGAGGGUUUGACGGUAUCUGCGGAAUAAGCACCGGCUAACUCCGUGCCAGCAGCCGCGGUAAUACGGGGGGUGCAAGCGUUAUCCGGAAUCACUGGGUUUAAAGGGUGCGUAGGCGGGAAAUUAAGUCAGUGGUGAAAGUCUGUUGCUUAACGAUAGGAUUGCCGUUGAUUCUGAUUUUCUUGAAGUGGGUCGAGGUUAGCGGAAUGUGACAUGUAGCGGUGAAAUGCAUAGAUAUGUCAUGGAACACCAAUUGCGAAGGCAGCUAGCUGGGCCUCGAUUGACGCUGAGGCACGAAAGCGUGGGUAGCGAACAGGAUUAGAAACCCUUGUAGUCC